rnacentral:rRNA from 1 species
UACGGAGGGUGCAAGCGUUAUCCGGAUUUACUGGGUUUAAAGGGUGCGCAGGCGGAUAUGUAAGUCAGUGGUGAAAUCUUCCCGCUUAACGGGAAAACUGCCAUUGAUACUAUAUAUCUUGAAUGCUGUGGAGGUAAGCAGAAUAUGUCAUGUAGCGGUGAAAUGCUUAGAGAUGACAUAGAAUACCUAUUGCGAAGGCAGCUUAGUACGCAGAUAUUGACGCUCAUGCACGAAAGCGUGGGGAUCAAACAGG